GUCAGUAUAAUCACUGGUGGAGCUAGAGGA
rnacentral:piRNA from 1 species